rnacentral:rRNA from 1 species
UACGGAGGGUGCAAGCAUUGAUCGGAAUUACUGGGCGUAAAGGGCGCGUAGGCGGUUAGGUAAGUCAGAUGUGAAAUUCCGGGGCUCAACCCCGGAGCUGCAUAUGAAACUACCUGGCUAGAGUUCAGUUAGGGUAAACGGAAUUCCACGUGUAGCGGUGAAAUGCGUAGAUAUGUGGAAGAACACCGGUGGUGAAGACGGUUUACUGGGCUGAAACUGACGCUGAGGCGCGAAAGCAUGGGGAGCAAACAGG